AUGGGAGAUUGGGGCGGGGGGAGAUCUGGAAGCUGGCGUGACAACACAGCGCGCGGAGGGUUCGGAGGUGGACGAAGGGCUCCGCUGCCAAACCAGUCCCGGCACAUGGUGUGGCAGCGGCCAGAUCCGCCGCCGGCGUCGUCGGGAGAUUCGAGAUCUGGUGAUGGUGAAGUUGGGGAUAGAUGGGAAGCUGCUGCGCGUGCCAUGAGCGGCGCGAACAAGGAGAAGACGGUGGGCUCCAAGGAGCCGCCUCCGCAUCCUGCACCUGGGCAAACAGCGACCAAGGGCAACGCCGAGAUCUGCAUCAACUGCUCUCUUCCAGGUCAUUUCGCUCCUCGUUGCCCUACUAUUUGCUGCGAAAAAUGCAACAAAUUAGGACAUAUGGCUCAGCUUUGCCAAGUUCUGAGGCCUUGGGAAUGCAUUCCUCUCAUGUGUGGGUUCCAGUCGCCUGGCCAGGGAUUUUUCUAUAUUCCUGAUAUGUGUGCUGCUAAACAUAGUGUUGAGAAAACUAGUAAUGUGAUGAUUACUAUAGUUGAGGGUGAUGCUACUGUGAAAGAUAUUGAGCAGGAAUUUAAUGCUAUAUUUGCCAAAAAACCUGGGAAAAAGAAAUGGCGCUGUACGGCCCGCUCUAUUGGCCCUGCUCAAUAUGUGAUGCGAUUUCCUAAUGCUAGUGAAGUAGAAAGGGCAUGUUGUUAUGGAAAACGCUUGCCUCUGAAGGAGGGGAACAUUGUUGUAUGUAUUACACCUUGGUCUGCUUCUAUUGGGGCCAAAGGCAUUAUGGAAAAAGCAUGGGUUAGGGUGCGCAACAUUCCCAUAGAGAAGAGAUGCACUGAACAUAUAGCUUAUGCUGGAGCUUUAGUUGGGAUUACUCUGGAAGUUGAUGAAUCGACUGUUCAUAAACCUGAAUAUGCUAGAAUCCUUCUUGGUUGUAGAGAGGUUGAGAAAAUUCCUCCUUCAGCUGAAGGAAUGCUGGGAGAAUAG
rnacentral:rRNA from 1 species